AAGAAAUAUUAAGGGAACAUCUAGUAUGUGCUAGAUAUUUUCCUAUUUUCUUUCUCAUCUAGCUGCAAGAUCAUAUGAUAACAUGAGACAGCAGAGAGGAGAAGACCCCUGUCUCACAGCCAGGAUUUGGGAUCCCAAGAAUGGAGCUUUUUUUCCACACUGUGCCUUGCUGGAAUCACCUCACGUCCCCACAUGCGAUGAGCUCAUCCUUCUCUUGGCACCACCUGCCUCUCAUCUUGGCCCUGGCUGGGACGCACCAACGUUUCUGCAGGAGGAAUAAAGCAAUAACAGGAAUCUCA